CAAGUUCUUAGCUGUCUGGUAAAUUUUCCUGACUUUCAUUGGUUGGUGCUGCUGUCCCUGGAGUCUAACGGCCUUGGCAGCUUGUUUCAAGGUGGGGCAAACGCAAUCUGGGUCUUCUGGCGAAGCUCGCUGCAGCACUUCUGGAGUAGCGAGGGUCUCUGCGGGUUCUCGAUGUCGUCUUCCUAAUCGAACUCAUCGUCGAGGGAAGGACCACCACCAUGGCCUUGUCUCAUUUGCUUGCGCAUCAAUCGCUGGCAAGCUCUAAGGUGUUGUUCUUUCUGAAACUCCCUCUGACAUUUCUGUCUUGGGCCUAUGGGGUUGCUGGCGUCAUAGUUCGACGACAGUGCGGUAGAUGGAAGCGUUGGUGAGGAGGAAGCAGAGAGCGAGAGAUGUGCAGACGAGGACGAGUUUGUUCGCCAUUUUUUGCUACUAACUUAGGUAUAUUUUUUGUUUGAGUGAAGAGUGAAAUGAAGGGGUUAUGGGUAUUUAUGGACAAGUGAGGAGUUUGGCAUGGAGAUCACGUGUAUGAAUGCAUGCACAGCAAUAAAAAAAUAAAACAUUUCAUGCAUGUGAUUAUGUGUUAUGUGAGCGCGAAAACACCUCCAAUUUGAUUAUGUGUUAUGUGAGCGAAUGCAUGCACAGCAAUAAAAGGUUGUUUUCGCGAUUAGGUGUUGGAAACUCAAAUUGGAGGUGUGACAAGUCAUGGACAACACCUAGUCUCCGAAAGUUGCACAUAUUAAGAGCAUCUCCAAUGGUGAGAGUCCCCCAUGGGCUCUCACCAAUUGUUUAAACAUAUUUUUUUUUGAAUUUUUAGAUGAGAACUUGGGGUUUUUUUUUUUAAUUUUCAUAGUCUAAUGGUAGUUUCUCUUGUGGGGUUCUUAAAAUUUUUUUUUUUUAAAAUAUUUUGAUUUUGAUGUAAUAUGAUGUUUGGUUUUGAUGUAAUUUGAUGAAUUAGGACAAAGUAAUUGGUGUAAUUAGUGUUUGGUGUUUCAAGAGUUCAUAAUCACAUCAAAAACUUGUCAAAUGCAAAAAAUAGAUUCAUGAUCUACACAUAUUAAACUUGUCAAAUGCAAAACAGAGAUUCAUGAUCUACACAUAUUUUGAUUUGAGUGUCUUGUCUCCUACUUGGCCUAUACAAGACAGAUUUGGUGUCUUCUACAUCAAAAACACAUUCAAAACAAAGCACGUUCAAAUUUAAUAGCAUAGACAAUUCACAAGCAACAUUGAACUUGCCUUCUCCACUGCCUUUCUCCUCUUGGCUUCUCCAUUUGCAGUUCUCCAUUUAUACUCAACAAAAACAGAGAGAAAUAAAGCACAUUAGCAUAAACAAUUCACAUUCAAAAACUAUAUAUUGAUUCAACAACCUAAUCAAACACAACCAACCACACUUUCUAAUUUCUCAACAACCAACAAAAUUGUUAGGCUACAAACGUUUAGAAAACGGAAUCAAAACGUCCAUGAGCUUCUUGAAUCUCUCUUUAGUGCUCUCUUCAAUCUCCUUCAAAAGCUUCUCAUUCCCUUCCUCUAAUUUCGCAGCCAAAGUCUCUAACUCAACUUGAUAAGCUUGUUUCCUCUCUCGAGACCUAGCAGCGGAUUCACGGUUCUUGAUCAUCCUCUUCUGUCUUUGAGCUGCAGCUUUAUCCAUUGCCUUCGUCAUCACUCUCCCUCUCUUUCCUCUCAUUCCUCCUCCUCCAACCAUUGAUCCUUCAAUCAUCUGAAACGAACUGUGUUGCUGCGGCUGAGACAUCAUUGGAAAAUCGAAUGUAUAGCUACCGUCGUUGCCUCCGUCAUCACUCUCCCUCUCUUUCCGUUGUUAACGUUGUUCCGAUCCUUUGUACCAAAACGUGAAGCUUGAAGUUGGUUGUUCUCAGGGCAGACCAUAGGAGUUUAACCUAGCAUUGCCAAACCUGUUAUUUAGAUUAGUGGAUUAGUGGAGUUCACAAUUAAGAAACUGAUUCCAAACAGAAAUAAAGACCUUAAUUCAAGAGCAGCAACAUCAUUAAACUCAGUAUAUGCUUCUAAGGUUAAUAAACUGAAUCAAAUACACCUAGAACAUUACAAUCAAGUACUUAUCAUACAACUAGGCAAGUUAUCGUAUCUCUGCUUCUAAGUUAGUUUCCACGUUUUACCACAAUGUUUUAUACAUAGGUUCAUACAUAUAAAGCUCUCAUGAUUUAGAAUCAAACAAAAACUACCUUUCGAUUACUCCAUCAAGGCAUGAUCUUCUUCCCAAGAAGCAAGAUGCACACACUCACACUAUCACCCACUUAAAGAUCUUGUUCAACACUAGAAAGUAACUUUUCUUUUGACUACUUCAGAAGCAGCUGAAAGAUAUGAUUACAACAACAAAACCCAGCGUUUUUCCAGCAAAUUCUAAAAUGAUGGAACACCCAAGAGAGAAAAAAUAGCAUCUUGCGUGAUGAUAUCAAAGAGUAUCAUCUCCAAACUAGUUUGAGCAAGUUUCAAAAAUCAGUUUGAUCAUCUUCAACCUAAGCUACACAAGAUCAAUUUGCAAAUAGUAAACUUAAAAUUCCCACCUCACAAACAUAUCUACACACAAAAAUUCCAUGAAACCUUAAGGAACCCCAGAAACAACAAAACGAAAACCCUAAUUAUGACAACUAAUUGCGCAAAUCUACACACACAAAAUUGGAGGAUUAACGCAGACAACAAAACACCACCCGAAGCAAGUUUUCCAAUUUCAUGGAGAAAUUGAUAGUGGGGAAAGCUUUAAUCUAAACCUAAUUUAUUAUUUGAUGAUCGAGACGGCGGAUGAUGAUGAUCGAGACAUGAUCACAAAUCUCCUCUGUUUUUGCAGUGGGAGAGAAAGAGAGGAGGAAGAGAGAGAGAAAACACGAACGUCGUUUUUUUGUUUCCUUUCAUAUUAAACGCAUUGACUCACACGACGACACGUCAGCGGCUCUCUCUGAUUCUCAAAUGUCUCUCAAGAGAAUCGGUUCUUUGAUUAUUUAGUAGUUUUGAUUUAUUUUAAUUGCAAUUAAACAAGAGAACCCCACAAUUUUUACUUGAAAACCUUGCUUUGGAGAUGCUCUUAUUAUAUCAUGAAAAAACAAAAAAAAAGUCCAAAUAACUAUAAUUUUUGGUUAUUAGUUAUUAGCAUAUACAAGAGUUAGUAUACAUACUUGCAUAGUCUAAAUGUGAUGUUUUGUAUAUUUAUACUAGCAUUUUUGCAACACUUUGGUGACGGGUGGGUAAAAAUGCUUCUGGGUUAAUCAGAUAUCCGACCCGUUUUUUAAAAUCCUUCACAAAAAAAUUGUUGGAUCGGAUUAUAUUUAACCCAACUCAUACACCGGAUAUUUCAUAUUUAAUAAUUUAGAUAUUUAGAAGAUUUGAUUAAGAUUUAGAAUUAUGAUUCUCCUAUUAUCUUUGUUUGAUUUGUUUUUAACUGUUUUGAAUCAUCAUAGAAUACAUAAAAGUAAAAAAAAAACCAAUUUUUUUUUCUGCAUAUACUGUGAUUCGAAAUUUUUAAAACGGACAUAUAUUAUCUAAUUGACGAAAAUGUGUGUUCAACGUUCUACAUCGAUUAAAAUAUUUAGAUAAUGAUUCAGAAUCAUAUCAUAAAUAAGAUCAACAUUAAUAAAAUAAAUGAGUUUUUUAGCCAGACGGGUUUGGCGGGACGGGUUUUUGAAUCAACAAAUAAUAAAAAAUUAAAAUAUCAUUAAUCUGCCGCUUCAAUACGGAUUAAAUCUUUUUUUUAAUACCACCAAUAUUAGACAUAUUAAAUCAGUCUCAUUUAGAAAAGAUUGUAUAAAACCAAAAAUUGUCCCGUGGUAUAAUGUUACUUAAUAACAAUAUUUAUAAAAUUUAAAUAUCAUUAACAUGCCGCUUUAAUACAUAUUAAAUCUUCAGUUUAUUAAAAUAUAAAUGUCUUAGAGAAUGAUAUGAUUUGUAAACUUUUAUAUAUAAUAAAUAAUCAUUAAAUAUUAAAAUAAAAACAAAUAACGGGACGGGUUGAGAAAUUACGGAACGAGUUAUAUUUCGGAAAAGAUUUAUAUGGCGGACGAAUUUGAAUCAAUAUUUAUAUACCGCUUUAAUACGGGUUAAAUCCUUAGUAUAUUAAUAAUUGUCUCGUGGACUCUUGGUAUACCGUUACUUAAUAACAAUUGUAAACAAUAAUAUAAAUAAAUAUGUUAUAAGGAGAUACAAUUUACAAAAUAUUUUUAUACUAACUUUAAAAUUAAAUCAUCCCGCGAUGUACCGCAGGUUAAAAUCUAGUAUAAUAUUAUAACUUCAAGAAAUCGCUAUUUUGGAUGAACAAGAAAUUAAAACUUUUCCAAAUCACUAGCUCCCGCGACAUGUCAAUCAAUAUUGUUUUGUUCAUAAGUUUUUUAAUAAACAAUACUGUAUUUGUUAUGACAUCUCCUAGUUCGAUCGGGCCUGAAGUAUUGUCUGGUUUAAUUUGGUUUCGGUUUAGUUCGAUUGGUUAAUUUGAUAAAAUCUAAAUUUGAAAUCGAUGUAUAUAUUCUUUUUUCUUUAUUUUUAUUCAGAAUGAAUUUGCAUCUACUAAUCAUAGAGUAGGCUUUAGUAAAUAGGAGACCAGUACUGGUUUAAUAGGACGGCAACAUCAGUAAGCUAGUUAAGUAGUUGCAUAAAAAGAAAUUAAGUAGAUGAGUUUAGUAAUUACAUCGAGGAAUUGGGAAUGAGAUACGUUCUUGCCACCAAAAAGAGAUUCCAAAUUGGUAAGGGCCAUAUCUUCGUUGGGCAGUUGAGAAUAAGUCUUGCCUGAGUCAUUUUUUCGAUCCUUAUUUGGAACUUGAUAAACAAACCUCUCAUUUAUUACGGUGUAUAGUGCUAAUUACAUUAGCCUCAAACAUCCUAAGCUUACAGUUUUAUAAAACACACACGAUGACUGUGUAUAGUAUUAACAUACAUCAAUAGCCACACUCAUGAUCAUCGUGCUAGGGCUUGGAAUCUAGUAGUAAGGAGGGAAGAAAGGGAUGGUGCUCUGGAAGGGACAUUCACCAACUUGCUGGAUUUUGCAAACGUUAGGCAAGUACUUAGCUGUCUGGUAAAUUUUCCUGGAUUCGAAUGGUCCGUGCUGUCCCUGGAGUCUAACAGCUCUAGCCGCCUGUUUCAAGGUGGGGCAAACGCAAACUGGCUCUUCCUGGCGAAGCUCGUUGCAGCACUGCUGGAGUAGCUGGUGUCCCUGCUGGGGGCCCUGUGGGUUCUCCAUGUCGUCUUCGAAAUCGAACUCAUCGCCACGACCUUGCCUUGUUUGCUUCUGCAUCCAUCUCUGGCAAGCUCUUAGGUGCUGUGAUUGCUGGAACUCCUUCUGGCAUCUCUGUCUUGGGCCCAUGGGGUUGGUGGCGUCAUCUUCCUCGAACUCGACGACUGUGCGGUAGAUGGAAGCGUUGGUGAGGAGGAAGCAGAGGGCGAGAGUUGCGCAGACGAGGAAGAGCUUGUUUGCCAUUUUUUGCUAUUUGUGUAUGUUUUCUUGUUUUGGUUUGAGUGAAGAGUGUAGUGAAGGGUUGGUUUUUAUUUAUAGGUGACAAAGGAGAUUUGCAUGGCAAUCACGUGUAAGAAUGCAUGAGUGUGUGUGGAGUCAUGGAGAGAGAGAUUCUCUUACGUUGUUGUCGGGAUUAGGUGUUGGAAAAGAGUGACAAGUGACGAACAAUACCACUCCUAGGCUCCUAGCUCCGCUUCUGCAUGCUAUGUGUGAUUUGUAGCUCAUUUUCUGACAUGACAUUAUGAACGAUUAUAUUUUUUAGAAUUAAGAAGGUAAAACUUUUUUAGUAAAACACACUUUUAAUUUGGUUUUGAUCGAAUGAGAUGCGAAUUCAAUCUUUUGGUGGUAGUGCUGUUGGAAAUAUAGUUUUGUGAGCUUAAUCAGAAACUUAGAAUUUUAAAAUAAAUCUAUAUAGUCACGCAGGCCCGGCUCACUCAUCGGUAAGACCCGGUGCCAUACAAAAAAAAAUCUUAUCUUUAAUAAAAAAUUUAUAUAUAUAUAUAUAUAUAUAUAUUUACAAAAAGUUAUAUUUCAUAAAUUAUUUUGUAUUUUAUAGCUAUUUGGACAUGUUAUUUUUGUUUAUUAAUUUUGGGGCUCAAUAUUACCUUUUAAAAUAAAAUUUUGGGACCUUUACAUAUGGAUAUUGUAUAAAAUUUCAGCAUAAUUAAAUAAUUAAAUAAUAAAAAAACUAUGAAUUUGGACCUUAAAUUUGUUGGACCCGGUGCAAAUGCACCACUUGCACAUGCCAAUAACCGGCCCUGUAGUCACGGUUCACGAACCAUGUAAUAAAAUUUUAUAAAAUAUGAGGGAUAUAUAUUAAAAAAAAAUUCAUAAAUAUUUAACCCUCUAAAUGACUCGUACAAAAAAUACAAACAAUAAGUAAUUUAUCUCUUACAUAAAAUCAGUGGUAAUAAAUUAAAGUUAAGAAAUAAAACCGAAAUAUGUGAGACACACACAUAAUUAGAGGUGUCAAAAACUCAAAAUGCGUCAAAAUUAAACUUAUAGAUUUACCAAAACAUUAUAACCCAAACCGUGAACUACAAGUCAAAGAAAGUAUCAGGAACCAUGUUUUGACUGAAAAUUCAAAAGAGAGAGAUGAAGAGAAUGAGAAGAAGAUAUACAAAAUAUUUUACGAAUUCUGAAUCGAGAGUUAGUACAUCGACUAGUUCAAUCUAGCAAUUACUAUGUUUUUCAUUUCAAAGAGUUAGAAUGACUCAAAGAUAUGAAUGAUACAAAAUCCGAUCCAUAAGACCCAUUAUAUUCUCGAACUUUCCAACCACGUUUAGCUUAAACCAAAGUAAACCCUUUCAAAACCAGACUAAUGGCUCUUUCAGAAAUCUGCAUGCAGCUCUUAACCAGAACUAAUUGUGUUCCCAGAACAACAUCAACACGUUUUUACAAGACAUUGUUUUCUCUGUUUGUUUGAUUGGUAACGUUUUACACUCUUGACCACAAUGGCUAGCCCUUUUUUACAACAAUUGUUAGCGACUAUCGGUCAAACCGAUCAUGUAUGUAAAUUAUAUCAUUUUUGAAUUUCGCUUCCACGGGAUCAUAUCUAAUGUACAAUUAAAUGGCAUGUCUCUUCCACUUGAUGGCGUGCAAAUUCUUGAGGCCAAAAUAGAUAUUAAAACGCACGUGGUAGGGCGGUGGUAACUGGGACUAUGGUGUAAAUACAGACCAGCAUGAUGCUUCAUUCUUAUAGAGAACAAAUUUUCUGCGUGUUGGAUCACUUGGAACUGUGCUUUGGUCAAGUGUUUUAUCCAUGGUGUAGUUUGCCGCACACUCUUGCAAACAAAUUAUUCACCCUUGAAAGUAGUCAGCGCAUAGCCCUAAGUUUUAGUAUGUGUGCAGUGCCGGUCCGGUGAAAUCCGGGGCCAAAUACGAAAAGAAAAAUUGGGGUUUUUUUUAAAAGUAGAAACUGCUAAAAAAUUUUUUUUUGCUAAUUAUGGAGCAUUUAUAAUUUUUAUUUAACAAUUUUUCUUAAAUUUUAAAGAUUUUUUGCUAAUUAUGAGGCCUUUUUGCUAAUUGUGAAGUCUUUUUUUGUUAAUUUUUGAGGCCUCUUUUACUAUUUUGAAGCUUUUUUUUGUUAAUUUUUGAGGCCUCUUUUACUAAUUUUGAAGUCUAUUUCAUAAUUUUAGGGCCUCAAAAAAAAAAAAAAAAAAUUCUUCACAAAAUGAGCCUCGAAAAUUUGAGACCCAAUACAAAUGAUUCACCAAAAUGGGUGAAGGGCCGGGCCUGUAUGUGUACGCGCGAGUCGGUGACUGAACACCAAGUGCUAUACCAAGAAAGAAAUAGCUAGCAUGCAAAAAUGUUCUUUGCAUAUAUCAUAUCAUGCCUGGGCAUUCGGAUUUCAGAUCGGAUUCGGUUCGGAUUUAUUCGGAUUCAGAUAAUUCGGGUAGGAGAUUUUAUUAUCCGUUCGGAUUUUAUGACUAUUCGGAUCGGAUUCGGUUCGGAUAGUAUCGGAUUCGGAUCGGUUUCAGAUCGGUUUUGGAUUGUUUUUCGAGUAAAAAAAACUAAAAAAUGUUCAAUUCAAAUAAAAAAAUAGUUUAAUCUUACUAAAAUUUGGCUAAGUUUUCCAAAAAUAUGUAUAAUUUUAACAAAUAUAACUAAAAACUUUCUGAUAUCUAGGUUAUUUAGGAUAUUUUUGUUAUUUGUUAUAAAAUUAUAGCUAAAUAUAACUAAUAUUUUUGGAUAUAUAAUUUUAUUUUCGGUUUUCGGAUAUCCUUUCGGUUUUCGGUUCAGAUGUGGUUCGAUUCGGAUAAUUCGGAUAGGAGAAUUCAUUAUCUGUUCGGGUUUUGUGACUAUUUGGUUCGGAUUCGGAGCCAGAUUUUUUGGAUCGGUUUCGGAUUGGUUUUCGGAUUUUAUGCCCAGGCCUAAUCAUAUGGAUAAAUGUUUAAUACUUAAGAGUUGAUAAGAUGAUCUAGAAUUAGUUGCAAAUUAUCUUCACCAUAUCUUCAGUUGUGAGAAACAUAUAAUUGAUUGUUAGAGCCUAGAGGGGCACAGUCAUAGAGCAGUUUUUAAUUGGUAUUUUGCUUAACCUGUAAAUUUGAUUGAAAAAUAUUUCGGACCACCUAGAGAGAGCGUAUGCAAGUGAAAAUUAAACAUAAACAAAACUCUUAUUUAUUAAGGACUUGUGCUAAUUACAUUAAUCUCAAACAUCCAAAACUUACAUUUUCAUAAAACACACGAUGAGGUGUGGUGUUAACAUGUAUCAACAACCACACGCUCAUACGCUCGAUGGUUUUGUUUGGAAUCUAGUAGUAAGGAGGGAAGAAGGGGAUGGUGGUCUGGAAGGGGCAUUCACCAACUUGCUGGAUCCUGCAAACCUUAGGCAAGUACUUAGCUGUCUGGUAAAUUUUCCUGGAUUGGAAUGGUCCGUGCUGUCCCUGGAGUCUAACGGCUCUAGCCGCCUGUUUCAAGGUGGGGCAAACGCAAACUGGCUCUUCCUGGCGAAGCUCGUUGCAGCACUGCUGGAGUAGCUGGUGUCCCUGCUGGGGGCCCUGUGGGUUCUCCAUAUCGUCUUCGAAAUCGAACUCAUCUUCACCACCACGACCUUGCCUUGUUUGCUUCUGCAUGAAUCUCUGGCAAGCUCUUAGGUGCUGUGAUUGCUGGAACUCCUUCUGGCAUCUCUGUCUUGGGCCCAUGGGGUUGGUGGCGUCAUCUUCGUUGAACUCGACGACGGUGCGGUAGAUGGAAGCGUUGGUGAGGAGGAAGCAGAGGGCGAGAGUUGCGCAGACGAGGAAAAGCUUGUUCGCCAUUUGGUAUUUGUAUGUGUUCUUACUCGUUAUUUGUGAUGAUGUAAAGAGUGGAAUAAAGUGGUUAAUUUAUAGGUGAAAAAUGAGAUUGCAUGGUGAUCACGUGUAAGAAUGCAUGUGUGUGUGAGAGAGUGAAUUUUUAGAGGAUGUGCAAUGGGAGUCUCUCGUCAUAGUCUCUCACAUAUGUGGAUGUCGGAUUCACACACUCAAGUAUUUUGUUAAGUGGGAAAGAUUAUUCUUGAGGGACAAAAAUGAAUAUGUAAAAACUUAUAAAUUGAUACGAAAAUUGCUAUAGUAUUUCUCUCUUGAGAGGAAGAUCCCCUUUUACAUGGUCAUUGGCCUCUAUAUUUAUACAUAGAGAAACGACAUUAAAAUGAAUAAUUAAGUACAAUUAUUCCUUCUUAAAUGUGUCCGUUUUGAUUCUUCGACUUUAAUGCUCAACGUUUGAAUUUGAGUUGACUCUGAUCUUCAUGGGACUCGCCUUUUUGGCCCAAGUGUCUUUGAACCGACUUACCCGUGUCUUCUACACUGAACUCGUAUCACAGUGCAGUCACUUCGGAUUCUCGAUGUGGUGACAACCACUUCGACCGUCCCCUCGGUUCACGGGUCCAAUGGGCUUCAUCCUUUAUGGGCCACCCGCUUGACUAUGUGGCAAUCUUUGGUUGGUCUCGUACUUCUGGUGCGGGAUCCGACACCAACAAUUAGCCCCCCAAGUUCUUCGAAGUGCUUUUCCAAUUCGGAGGACUUUAAAUG
rnacentral:lncRNA from 1 species